CGACGUGAGGAACCUGCCUCAAAGAGGGGGACAACAGUUGGAAACGGCUGCUAAUACCGCAUAAGCCCACAGCUCGGCAUCGAGCAGAGGGAAAAGGAGUGAUCCGCUUUGAGAUGGCCUCGCAUCCGAUUAGCUAGUUGGUGAGGUAAUGGCCCACCAAGGCGACGAUCGGUAGCCGGACUGAGAGGUUGAACGGCCACAUUGGGACUGAGACACGGCCCAG
rnacentral:rRNA from 1 species